rnacentral:rRNA from 1 species
GAUGAACGCUGGCGGCGUGCCUAAUACAUGCAAGUCGAGCGAACGGACGAGAAGCUUGCUUCUCUGAUGUUAGCGGCGGACGGGUGAGUAACACGUGGAUAACCUACCUAUAAGACUGGGAUAACUUCGGGAAACCGGAGCUAAUACCGGAUAAUAUUUUGAACCGCAUGGUUCAAAAGUGAAAGACGGUCUUGCUGCCACUUAUAGAUGGAUCCGCGCUGCAUUAGCUAGUUGGUAAGGUAACGGCUUACCAAGGCAACGAUGCAUAGCCGACCUGAGAGGGUGAUCGGCCACACUGGAACUUAGACACGGUCCAGACUACUACGGGAGGCAGCAGUAGGGAAUCUUCCGCAAUGGGCGAAAGCCUGACGGAGCAACGCCGCGUGAGUGAUGAAGGUCUUCGGAUCGUAAAACUCUGUUAUUAGGGAAGAACAUAUGUGUAAGUAACUGUGCACAUCUUGACGGUACCUAAUCAGAAAGCCACGGCUAACUACGUG